rnacentral:rRNA from 1 species
AUAGCUCAGUAACACGUGGCCAAACUACCCUGUCGAUCGGGACACCCUCGGGAAACUGAGGCUAAUCCCGGAUACGGCUCGCUGCCUGGAGUUGGCGCGAGCCCGAAACGUUCAGGCGCGACAGGAUGUGGCUGCGGCCGAUUAGGUAGACGGUGGGGUAACGGCCCACCGUGCCGAUAAUCGGUACGGGUUGUGAAAGCAAGAGCCCGGAGACGGAAUCUGAGACAAGAUUCCGGGCCCUACGGGGCGCAGCAGGCGCGAAACCUUUACACUGCACGCGAGUGCGAUAGGGGGACUCCAAGUGCGAGGGCAUACAGUCCUCGCUUUUCACCACCGUAAGGAGGUGGUAGAAUAAGUGCUGGGCAAGACCGGUGCCAGCCGCCGCGGUAAUACCGGCAGCACGAGUGAUGACCGCUAUUAUUGGGCCUAAAGCGUCCGUAGCCGGCCGGGCAAGUCCAUCGGGAAAUCCGCACGCCUAACGUGCGGGCGUCCGGUGGAAACUGUUCGGCUUGGGACCGGAAGAUCCAGAGGGUACGUCUGGGGUAGGAGUGAAAUCCUGUAAUCCUGGACGGACCACCGGUGGCGAAAGCGCUCUGGAAAGACGGAUCCGACGGUGAGGGACGAAAGCUUGGGUCACGAACCGGAUUAGAUACCCGGGUAGUCCAAGCUGUAAACGAUGUCUGCUAGGUG